rnacentral:rRNA from 1 species
GUGCCAGCAGCCGCGGUAAGACAGAGGGUGCAAGCGUUGUUCGGAAUUAUUGGGCGUAAAGCGCGCGUAGGCGGUCUGCAAAGUCGGGUGUGAAAUCCCGGGGCUCAACCCCGGAAGUGCAUUCGAAACUAACAGACUUGAGUCUCGGAGAGGAUGGCGGAAUUCCUGGUGUAGAGGUGAAAUUCGUAGAUAUCAGGAGGAACAUCCGUGGCGAAGGCGGCCAUCUGGACGAUGACUGACGCUGAGGUGCGAAAGCGUGGGGAGCAAACAGGAUUAGAAACCCCAGUAGUCC